AGUGAACGCUGGCGGUAGGCCUAACACAUGCAAGUCGAACGGCAGCACAGUAAGAGCUUGCUCUUACGGGUGGCGAGUGGCGGACGGGUGAGGAAUACAUCGGAAUCUCCUUUUUCGUGGGGGAUAACGUAGGGAAACUUACGCUAAUACCGCAUACGACCUACGGGUGAAAGCAGGGGAUCUUCGGACCUUGCGCGAUUGAAUGAGCCGAUGUCGGAUUAGCUAGUUGGCGGGGUAAAGGCCCACCAAGGCGACGAUCCGUAGCUGGUCUGAGAGGAUGAUCAGCCACACUGGAACUGAGACACGGUCCAGACUCCUACGGGAGGCAGCGGUGGGGAAUAUUGGACAAUGGGCGCAAGCCUGAUCCAGCCAUACCGCGUGGGUGAAGAAGGCCUUCGGGUUGUAAAGCCCUUUUGUUGGGAAAGAAAAGCAGCAGGUUAAUACCCCGCCGUUCUGACGGUACCCAAAGAAUAAGCACCGGCUAACUUCGUG
rnacentral:rRNA from 1 species